rnacentral:rRNA from 1 species
UACGUAGGGGUGCGAGCGUUUAAUCGGAAUUACUGGGCGUAAAGCGUGCGCAGGCGGUUGUGCAAGACAGAUGUGAAAUCCCCGGGCUCAACCUGGGAACUGCAUUUGUGACUGCAUGGCUAGAGUACGGUAGAGGGGGAUGGAAUUCCGCGUGUAGCAGUGAAAUGCGUAGAUAUGCGGAGGAACACCGAUGGCGAAGGCAAUCCCCUGGACCUGUACUGACGCUCAUGCACGAAAGCGUGGGGAGCAAACAGG